rnacentral:rRNA from 1 species
GUCCUAGCUGUAAACGGUGCAUAUUUGCUGUAAAAGGAAUCGACCCCUUUUGUGGCGAAGCAAACGCGUUAAAUAUGCCGCCUGGGAAGUACGGUCGCAAGAUUAAAACUCAAAGAAAUUGACGGGGGCCUGCACAAGCGGUGGAGUAUGUGGCUUAAUUCGAUGCAACGCGAAGAACCUUACCUGGCCUUGACAUGCACAUAGUAGAAGCCUGAAAGGGUGACGAGGUAGCAAUACCAGUGUGCACAGGUGCUGCAUGGCUGUCGU